rnacentral:rRNA from 1 species
AUUGAACGCUGGCGGCAGGCUUAACACAUGCAAGUCGAGCGGGGUGAUGGUGCUUGCACUAUCACUUAGCGGCGGACGGGUGAGUAAUGCUUAGGAAUCUGCCUAUUAGUGGGGGACAACAUCUCGAAAGGGAUGCUAAUACCGCAUACGUCCUACGGGAGAAAGCGGGGGAUCACUGGUGACCUUGCGCUAAUAGAUGAGCCUAAGUCGCAUUAGCUAGUUGGUGGGGUAAAGGCCUACCAAGGCGACGAACUGUAGCGGGUCUGAGAGGAUGAUCCGCCACACUGGGGCUGAGACACGGCCCAGACUCCUACGGGAGGCAGCAGUGGGGAAUAUUGGACAAUGGGGGGAACCCUGAUCCAGCCAUGCCGCGUGUGUGAAGAAGGCCUUAUGGUUGUAAAGCACUUUAAGUUGGGAGGAAGGGCUGUAGGCUAAUAUCCUGCAGUUUUGACGUUACCGACAGAAUAAGCACCGGCUAACUUCGUGCCAGCAGCCGCCGUAA